AUAUUUAUUUGCUGAUUCCCCCUACAGGCACAUUGAGUUGCCCAAAGAUUAGACUGGGUCGCCCAUGAGGUCUCAGUCAUAUUCUUCAUUAGAAAUUGUUUUUUUUUUUUUGGCCUCUAACAGAGAAAUGUGGGAGGAAUGAGUUCCUAAAUUGAAUGUCAAAGUUCUUAGGUAACCCCUAUACCCCCAAUUCCCAAAAAUAGUGUCUUGACAGCUGAUGCAUUAGAAGUUACAGUGUUUAUUUUGUUUUCUUUCUUCCUUGUUUUCCCUUGAAUAUAGAUGCCUAAUGGUUCAGAUGACACUUGGUCCCCCAAAUUGUACAACACACAUGAAUCUAGUUCAUGUUGUUUCAUUGAAACACAUGCUCAAAACUCUGUCCUGUGUAUCAUACACUCACCAAAGACAGACAUGUAAAAGAUAUUUCUUAGAGUGGCCGUUGCAAAUAGUAAUCAUGGUUUUGUUAUUUCAAUGGAAUGCUAUGUUCACCUUUCUUCACCUUUCUGUUCUGUAUGUUAUAAACUCUCCAAAGACAAAUGUAUAAAAUAAGUUUCUAAGCAUGUUACUUGUGGGU
rnacentral:lncRNA from 1 species